AAACGGCUAGACAAGAUAUUUAAAGACAUUGCAACACCGUUCGCUCUGUGGUCCUUGGAACGACCGUUGACUAGUCUUCCGAAGGUGCACGUCAAUAGUAGCAUCGUUAUAGUUGGCGCCAGUCGAACUGGUCUGGCUUUCCUUGAAACGCUGCUUUUAGGUCCCACAGCUGAAUACCUAACGUUUACGAACAUAACUCUAAUAUCUCAACACGGCCUGCCGACUGUCACAGAUUGUAUGCACGCGGCUGAGACUUGCGUUCCUCGAGACGGA
rnacentral:misc_RNA from 1 species